UCCUUGGAAGUCAGCCUGAUGCACCAACCAAGCCCCUAGUGUGCCUUGGUAAGGCCUGGUGUGUCUGGUGCGCCUUGGUAAGAAAUCUAUGCGCCACAACUUGGCCAGGUGUGUGGCCUAAUGCGCCAACUAGGAAGAUGGGUGCGCUUGUGCCAGUCUAGUUCGAUCACUGAUCCAAUUCUCCUCGGUCACGACAUACAACUUGACUAUGUUAGUGGUCCAUCUCCCUCGGUCACGAUCCAUUCCUUGGCACAGUCAGCACUCCAAUUCCCUCAGUCACGAUCCAUUUCUUGGGUUAGUCAGUGCUCCAUUUCCCUUGGUCACGAUAUGCAUCAUGGCUUGGUCAUCCUCGGUUAUAUUUGAUGCUAUAGGUUCAGACACAUACAUAUUUGGUUCCAUGGAUAUAUUAAUACUUUAUUAUAAAGAGAGAUUGAUACUUACAUCCUCUUCCAAAAAUAAAGUCAUCACUAUGUUUUUUGCGAACAAAAUACAUAAAACUCUCAUUUGACCAAUCUUAGAUAGUUUUGGUCUGC
rnacentral:lncRNA from 1 species